rnacentral:rRNA from 1 species
AGAGUUUGAUCCUGGCUCAAGAUGAACGCUAGCGGCAGGCUUAACACAUGCAAGUCGAGGGGCAGCAUGUCCAGCAAUGGAUGAUGGCGACCGGCGGAAGGGUGCGUAACGCGUGAGCAACAUGCCCUAUACAGGGAGAUACACCAGGGAAACUUGGUCUAAUAUCCCAUAGCAUUCAUUGAAGGCAUCUUUAAUGAAUUAAAGCUUCGGUGGUAUAGGAUUGGCUCGCGUGACAUUAGCCAGAUGGUGAGGUAACGGCUCACCAUAGCAAUGAUGUCUAGGGGUUUUGAGAGGAAGGCCCUCCACACUGGGACUGAGACACGGCCCAGACUCCUACGGGAGGCAGCAGUGAGGAAUAUUGGAUAAUGGAUGGAAAUCUGAUCCAGCCAUGCCGCGUGCAGGAAGACGGCCUUAUGGGUUGUAAACUGCUUUUAUACGGGAGCAAUAAGGGUUACGAGUAAUCCGAUGAGAGUACUGUAUGAAUAAGGAUCGGCUAACUCCGUGCCAGCAGCCGCGGUAAUACGGAGGAUCCGAGCGUUAUCCGGAAUUAUUGGGUUUAAAGGGUGCGUAGGCGGCCAUUUAAGUCAGCGGUGAAAUUUUGCAGCUUAACUGUAACAGUGCCGUUGAUACUGUUUGGCUAGGAUUUGGUUGUAGUGUGCGGAAUGUGUGGUGUAGCGGUGAAAUGCUUAGAUAUCACACAGAACACCGAUUGCGAAGGCAGCACACUAAGUCAUUAUUGACGCUGAGGCACGAAAGUGUGGGGAGCAAACAGGAUUAGAUACCCUGGUAGUCCACACUGUAAACGAUGAGCUCUUGGUGUCCGGGAAGCAAUUUUUCGGUGCCGCAGGCUAACGCAUUAACUGCUCCGCCUGGGGAGCGCGUACGUAAGUAUUAAACUCAAAGGACUUGACGGGGGCCCGCACAAGCGGCGGAGCAUGUGGUUUAAUUACAUGCAACGCGCAGAACCUUAUCUGGUCCUGACAUGCAAAGAAUCCUGAUGUAUCUCGCGAGUGCCUUUGGGAGCUCUGAGACAGCCGGUGCAUGGUCGUCGUCAGCUCGUGUCGCUGAGAUGUUCGGUUAAGUCCGGCAACGAGCGCAACCCUCGUGGCCACUUGCCAUCAUUUAGUUGGGCACUUUGGCCAGACUGCCGUCGACAAAACGGAGGAAGGUGGGGAUGACGUCAAAUCAUCACCCCUCUUAUGUCCUGGGCUACACACGUACUACAAUGGGCGCUACAACGGGCAGCCUCACCGCGAGGUGGAGCGAAUCCCCAAAGGCGUCCCCAGUUCGGAUUGCAGGCUGAAACUCGCCCGUAUGAAGUCGGAAUUGCUAGUAAUCGCGGAUCAGAAUGCCGCGGUGAAUACGUUCCCGGCCCUGUACUCACCGCCCGUCAAG